rnacentral:tRNA from 1 species
AUCCCCGUCACCCGCUCUGAGGAACUUGAGACGUUCCCGCCAAAGGUGCCAUUAAUUUGGAAUCAACCCCC